GGCUCAGGAUGAACGCUAGCUACAGGCUUAACACAUGCAAGUCGAGGGGCAGCAUGGCCUAUCUUUCGGGAUAGGCUGAUGGCGACCGGCGCACGGGUGAGUAACGCGUAUCCAACCUUCCCUUUACUGGGGUCCAGCCCGUCGAAAGGCGGAUUAAUCCCCCAUGUUCUCCGUCCCGGACAUCUGUGUCGGAGCAAAGAUUUAUCGGUAAAGGAUGGGGAUGCGUCCGAUUAGCUUGUUGGCGGGGUAACGGCCCACCAAGGCAUCGAUCGGUAGGGGUUCUGAGAGGAAGGUCCCCCACACUGGAACUGAGACACGGUCCAGACUCCUACGGGAGGCAGCAGUGAGGAAUAUUGGUCAAUGGCCGCAAGGCUGAACCAGCCAAGUAGCGUGAGGGAAGACUGCCCUAUGGGUUGUAAACCUCUUUUAUGCGGGGAUAAAGGCGUCCACGUGUGGAUGUUUGCAGGUACCGCAUGAAUAAGGACCGGCUAAUUCCGUGCCAGCAGCCGC
rnacentral:rRNA from 1 species